UUCCGAGAUGGAUUGGUGCCUUCGGGAACUCUGAGACAGGUGCUGCAUGGCUGUCGUCAGCUCGUGUUGUGAAAUGUUGGGUUAAGUCCCGCAACGAGCGCAACCCUUAUCCUUGUUUGCCAGCACUUCGGGUGGGAACUCCAGGGAGACUGCCGGUGAUAAACCGGAGGAAGGUGGGGACGACGUCAAGUCAUCAUGGCCCUUACGAGUAGGGCUACACACGUGCUACAAUGGCGUAUACAGAGGGCNGCGAGCUAGCGAUAGUGAGCGAAUCCCACAAAGUACGUCGUAGUCCGGAUUGGAGUCUGCAACUCGACUCCAUGAAGUCGGGGAAUCGCUAAG
rnacentral:rRNA from 1 species